rnacentral:rRNA from 1 species
CCUACGGGUGGCAGCAGUGGGGAAUAUUGCGCAAUGGGCGAAAGCCUGAAGCAGCGACGCCGCGUGCGGGAUGAAGGUCUUCGGAUCGUAAACCUCUGUUAGCAGGGAAGAACGGUCACUGUGCUAAUCAGCAGUGAAUUGACGGUACCUGCAAGGGAAGCACCGGCUAACUCCGUGCCAGCAGCCGCGGUAAUACGGAGGGUGCGAGCGUUAAUCGGAAUUACUGGGCGUAAAGGGCUCGUAGGCGGUAUGUCAAGUCAAGGGUGAAAUCCCCGGGCUCAACGUGUGAACUGCCUUUGAAACUGGCCAACUAGAGAGUGUGAGAGGAUAGUGGAAUUCCAGGUGUAGGAGUGAAAUCCGUAGAUAUCUGGAGGAACAUCAGUGGCGAAGGCGACUAUCUGGCACAUUACUGACGCUGAGGAGCGAAAGCGUGGGUAGCAAACAGGAUUAGAUACCCUUGUAGUC